UGGGGAAUAUUGGACAAUGGGCGCAAGCCUGAUCCAGCCAUGCCGCGUGAGUGAUGAAGGCCCUAGGGUUGUAAAGCUCUUUCACCGGUGAAGAUAAUGACGGUAACCGGAGAAGAAGCCCCGGCUAACUUCGUGCCAGCAGCCGCGGUAAUACGAAGGGGGCUAGCGUUGUUCGGAUUUACUGGGCGUAAAGCGCACGUAGGCGGACUUUUAAGUCAGGGGUGAAAUCCCGGGGCUCAACCCCGGAACUGCCUUUGAUACUGGAAGUCUUGAGUAUGGUAGAGGUGAGUGGAAUUCCGAGUGUAGAGGUGAAAUUCGUAGAUAUUCGGAGGAACACCAGUGGCGAAGGCGGCUCACUGGACCAUUACUGACGCUGAGGUGCGAAAGGGUGGGGAGCAAACAGG
rnacentral:rRNA from 1 species